CUCCCCUAGUAUCUCCAGAUGGGUAUUAGAAGAUACUGACUGAAGUCUCGCUGUUUUCUGAGAGGACUCCAGAACUUCUUAUUGCUUUCUCACUUUGGAACGAAAUACCACCCUGAAGGUGGCAUGUGAAUCCUACCAGUGUCUUUCCUUUAUGGGGCUCAGUCUGUCUCUGACCUCUCAUCAUUUAAGCAGUGAAGUCUCAUAGAGUUGAGCAUUAUGAAGAACAAUACCACAAAAUGCCAAAUAAGCAGCAAAGUCCUAGAAAACAGUGAAUGUCCCACCAUUUCCUGAUUUCUUGUUGAUGGCCUGGGCUACACCAACAACCUGAGGUGGAGCCUAAUCCCUCGCCCCUUGAGUCUGGCCUGGCCUUGAUGCCUGGCUUCUAAAGAACAGAAUGCCAAGAAGGGAAGGUGAACAACUCUGGAUGUUCGGUCAGACAAGGCACUGGUGCCUCCUCCGUGCUACUCUCUGCCACACGAUGAGGAAACUGAGUGCCUUGUGGAGAGGCCCACUUGGCGAGGAACUGAGGCCUCCUAUCAACAGCCAUGUGAGUGAGCCCCCUGGGAAGUGGGUUCUCAAGCAUGAGCCAACCCUCCCUGCCUGGAUCCUGAGUGCUGAGAUCCGCCCCUUGCAGGGAACCUGGGCCACACCACGCAGUUGGCUAAGCCACUCUGGAAUUCCUGAACCACACAAACUGUGAGAGAAUAUAUGUCUGUUUUUCAAAAUCACUACAUUUGGGGCAAUUUGUCAGGUUGAAAAAGACCAUGAACACAGUACUGAUGAUCAUCAAAUAAUGUGUAAUAAUAAAAUAGAUCUGGAAUUCUAAAUCCAGGUUACUUUCACCUUA